CAAUAGCGUAUAUUUAAGUUGCUGCAGUUAAAAAGCUCGUAGUUGGAUUUCGGGUGGGAAUGGCCGGUCCGCCGUUUCGGUGUGCACUUGCUACGCCCACCUUGCUGCCGGGGACGUGCUCUUGAGUUCACGCUCGGGACACGGAGUCGGCGAGGUUACUUUGAGUAAAUUAGAGUGUUCAAAGCAGGCCUACGCUCUGAAUACAUUAGCAUGGAAUAACACGAUAGGACUCUGGCCUAUCUUGUUGGUCUGUAGGACCGGAGUAAUGAUUAAGAGGGACAGUCGGGGGCAUUCGUAUUUCAUUGUCAGAGGUGAAAUUCUUGGAUUUAUGAAAGACGAACUACUGCGAAAGCAUUUGCCUAGGAUGUUUUCAUUAA
rnacentral:rRNA from 1 species